AUAUCUAAACUAUAUAAGAAAGUAAAAUUUAACAUGUUAAUAUGGAAAGUUUUAUUUUUGUAUCUUGAUGACUUAAAUGUAAGCAACAAAGUGGUUAAACACAUACCCAUCUAAAUUUUUUUAUAGCCUUCCAUGUUAAACUAUAAGUAAAUAAUUAGUUUUAAAAUUGUUUUGUAUUUUCUUAUUCCUGUUCCCUUUACCCUUUGACAACUUGAAAUGUUACCACUUCGUCCUCAUGAUGUUCUUCUAUCAACCCUGCUUAGGAUGAGAACAAGUUGAGCAGUGCCAACGGCCAUGAAGAACGUAGCAAAAAGAGGAAAAAAAGCAAGAGCAGAAGUCGUAGUCAUGAACGAAAGAGAAGCAAAAGUAAGGAACGGAAACGAAGUAGAGAUAGAGAAAGGAAAAAGAGCAAAAGCCGUGAAAGAAAACGAAGUAGAAGCAAAGAGAGGCGACGGAGCCGCUCAAGAAGUCGAGAUCGAAGAUUUAGAGGCCGCUACAGAAGUCCUUAUGUAAUUUUGUGUUUCCUUUUUAGCUCCGGACCAAAAUUUAACAGUGCCAUCCGAGGAAAGAUUGGGUUGCCUCAUAGCAUCAAAUUAAGCAGACGACGUUCCCGAAGCAAAAGUCCAUUCAGAAAAGACAAGAGCCCUGUGAGGGAACCUAUUGAUAAUUUAACUCCUGAGGAAA
rnacentral:sRNA from 1 species